UUUUGUUCUUCUUCAUCCGAUAAACCCCAAUUAGUUUAGGGUUUUCAUCUUCAUCGUUACCGCAGAAAAACUUCUCCAAAUUCUAGCAAUUCCAUUCGAAUUUCGCAUACAAUAUCACGAAAACAUCACCCUUUCAGAUCCAUGUGUUGAUUUGCAGAUUCGAAAAUGACGUGGGCUUAUACUAUGAAGGGGAAGAAGCGAAUGAACAAGGAAGUACGAUCGUGAAGAAGAUGAAGAGCAAAUCCACUCAAAGAAACCAGCGAUUCAGAGAGAAGAACCAACGCCGGUAGUUACAAAAACAGAGGAAAAUAGUGAACUUGCAGGUAUUUUAAUUGCUCCUUCAUUUGAAAAACUAGUGAGAAAGCGGGUGUUAUUUUCAUUCUCGAAAAAACUUCUUUGGAAGUCGCUAAAAUUGGAAAGAGGUGUCGGUGCUACAUAGGUUUACGUCAAUGGAUAUUUUUCCAAGGCAAGUUAAAAAUAUCAAAGGAAGGUUAUCUUCUUCGUAAUGAAGAUGGAGUAGCAAUAUUGGGUGAUGUUCGCAAUAGUUAGGCUGGUGUCUCAGUUUUACAGUCUUUUUAUUCGCAAACACAAUGUUGUUUCUGAUGCUCUCAAGAAAGAAUACUCAGAAUUAAAAGAUGAAGAUCUUUAUCGCUAUGCUGGAUUGGUGACAUCAGCUGUAUUCAUACCAUAGAUUGGACUGUGGAGCUUCUUAAAAUGGACACUUUGCUUGCAGGCAUGAGGGGAAAUUGGUAAAAAAACAUAUAAAUAUAGUAGAUGUAAUGAUAUAUAGCUCAAAUAUAAUAAUUUUGAUGUUCAUUUCAUUACUUUGUAUCAUGAUACUGUAAACUAUAAUUUGAUUUCAGGUAAUUUUAGUGAUAUCUGUUUUUUGCAUAAUAUCCCCUGUGUAUUUGAUUUCUCAUAGUGGGAGAAUCUUUAAAAUCUCAAUCACUAUCCUCAAAACUCCACCAUAGCCCAUUUUGUUUUUCUUUUAUGCUGUUGAAAAAGUGAAUGUAGAACAGUUGUCGACUCUGGCUAAAGAUGUGCUUUCAACAUUGAUGCUCAUUGUAAUUGCCUCCAUAAGCGUGGUUCUCAUCUACUCACUGCUGCAACAAUGUUGAACCGGACACGAGAGACUACAGAUUCUUACACAAUUGCCACAGCUCCAUGUUUUGGAUCGUUUCGACGAUUACCGAGUUUUAUUUAUUCAGGUAGACUAAGAAUUUGUGGAAGUAUUAGCAUUCAGGUAUCUAUCAUGUUUACAUACAAAGUCAUAUGUCAUUCUUUGAGAAGUAUGAUCUAUUGUUUGUAUGCUUGUUGCACCCUCUUUCUUUCGACAUCAAAAUCCAGGAAGUAGAGAUAGAGGCUGGAAAGGUUUGCUUGGAGAGGAAAAAACCAAAAGGACAUUGAAAGUUAAGUGCUAUUACAUGAAUGGUUCUGCUAAUUUUUAUAUGAGACCAUUGGAGGAUGUGUCAGCUGUGGUUGAUCAUGAUAAGAUGAAAAUUGUUAGUUACUCUGAUAAACAUGUGGUUCCAGUGCCGAAAGGUGAAGGUACUGAGUAUCGAGCUUCCACCAACCAACAUUAUGGACCUGGAUUCACCAUCCAAGGUCACUCCGUCAGAUAUUCAAGCCCAGCAAGUUGACUGGUUGAACCGAAGUGGAAGCCACAGCGUCUCCAAUUGCAGCUGCUACGGUGAAACUUUAGUAGAACUCAGUAUUUUCUUUGACAUUUCAUUGGCCAUUUGUAAAGCAAUAAAGUCAAAACACUCUUGAGUAUGCUUUUUUUACUUAUUUUUUCAAUUAUUCAUGAUUUUGUUUCAAAAUGUGUUUCUUUUUUCAUUAGAUUAAUGUACAAUGAAUGCUUUUUUUGUUGUUUCAGUUGUUUAUGCAGUAAUAGAUAAUUGUUAAUGACCUGUAUGGUCUGAAAAGUCCAACACCACAUGGUACACCCCUCCCUGUAAUACU